GCCAAUCAAACUCCGUGAUAGCUGGUUCUCCCCGAAAUAUAUUUAGGUAUAGCGUUCCAUUUUUUGCUUGCGUGUGGUAGAGCUACUGGUUGGUUGAUGGGCCUUGUUGGUUACUGAGAUCUGCUAAACUCCGAAUGCGCGUUAAGUUGGUGGGGCAGUCAGACAGCGGGGGAUAAGCUUCGUUGUCGAGAGGGAAACAGCCCUGAUCAUCGGUUAAGGUCCCUAAGUGUGUGCUGAGUGGAAAAGGAUGUGUAGUUGCGUUGACAGCCAGGAGGUUGGCUUAGAAGCAGCCACCCUUGAAAGAGUGCGUAAUAGCUUACUGGUCGAGUGAUUGUGCGCCGAUAAUGUAGUGGGGCUUAAGCAUGCCACCGAAACUGUGACUACAAUGCUUUUUGGUGUUGUGGGGUAGGGGAGCGUCCUGCAUUGUUGUAGCGGCCUGGUGAUGGGUCGUGUGUGGUGUGGGAGUGAGAAUGCAGGCAUGAGUAGCGAGUCCAGUGUGAGAAUCGCUGGCGCCGAUAAACUAAGGGUUCCAGGGGAAGGUUUAUCCGCCCUGGGUUAGUCGGGUCCUAAGGCGAGGCCGUCAGGCGUAGUCGAUGGUUGAGCAGUUGAUAUUCUGCUACCGGGAUCAGACCGUAUAUAGCGCUCAUUUCUUUGAGCUUGACGCCCUUUUCAGUUGUUGUUCCCUUUCGGGGGUUUAGCAUCUGUUGGGUUUUGGGUUUUUGGUUUGAGUGUUUUAGCUUCGUGGUGACACAGUGAGAUUGCCUGGCGCGGUGGUGGUUUACCGUGUUCAAGCCUGUAGCCUGUCUUCUAGGCAAAUCCGGAAGACGCAUAGGGUGAGGGGUGAUGGUGAGGCCCUUUGGGGUUGAUAACAGGGUUGGUCUGUACUGUCGAGAAAAGCUGCGUUGUGAGGUGUGUUUCCGCCCGUACCCUAAACCGACUCUGGUAGUUGGGUAGAGAAUACUAAGGCGAGCGAGUGAAUCGUGGUUAAGGAAUUCGGCAAAUUGCCUCCGUAACUUCGGGAGAAGGAGGCCCCACCCCUUGAAACUGCCUUUGCGUGGUUAGGGGGUGUGGGGUGCAAUAGCAAGAUGGAAGCGACUGUUUAUCAAAAACAUAGGUGCGUGCGAAGCUGUAAGGCGAGGUAUACGCACUGACGCCUGCCCGGUGCCGGAAGGUUAAGAGGAGCUGUCAGCCCUUUUGGGCGAAGCGGUGAAUUUAAGCCCCGGUAAACGGCGGUGGUAACUAUAACCAUCCUAAGGUAGCGAAAUUCCUUGUCGGGUAAGUUCCGACCUGCACGAAUGGCGUAACGACUUCUGUGCUGUCUUGACCGCGAACUCGGCGAAAUUGCAUUACGAGUAAAGAUGCUCGUUACGCGCAGCAGGACGGAAAGACCCCGGGACCUUUACUAUAGCUUGGUAUUGGUGGCUGGUUGUGUUUGUGUAGGAUAGGUGGGAGACGUUGAAGCAGUCACGCUAGUGGUUGUGGAGUCGGCAAGUGAAAUACCACUCUGAUGUUGCUGGUUAUCUGAACCUGGACCCAUUAUCUGGGUUAGGGACAGUGCCUGGUGGGUAGUUUAACUGGGGCGGUUGCCUCCUAAAUGGUAACGGAGGCGCUCAAAGGUUUCCUCAUCCUGGUUGGUAAUCAGGGUUCGAGUGUAAGUGCACAAGGAAGCUUGACUGUGACACUGACGGGUGGAGCAGGUACGAAAGUAGGAACUAGUGAUCCGGCAAUGGCUUAUGGAAGCGUUGUCGCUCAACGGAUAAAAGGUACCCCGGGGAUAACAGGCUGAUCUUGCCCAAGAGUCCAUAUCGACGGCAUGGUUUGGCACCUCGAUGUCGGCUCGUCGCAUCCUGGGGCUGGAGUUGGUCCCAAGGGUUGGGCUGUUCGCCCAUUAAAGCGGUACGCGAGCUGGGUUCAGAACGUCGUGAGACAGUUCGGUCCCUAUC
rnacentral:rRNA from 1 species